UUUUCCGUUUCUUGACUUAGUCACAUGAUUUAUUCUCAUAUCUGAGAUCAUUGGUCUUUUAGAAUAUGUUUAGCGGAUGCUGAGUUUGGAGCAGCAAGUUUCGCCUGACAGAGAAAAAUGCUCUUAAAAUCUUCCUUUAAUCAACACUUUUCCCGAUGCUUUUGGACAAGCUUAGUUGCUGUCACAGCUCUCGUAUGUGGAAUUCUCUUAUAUGUGAGCUGCUUACGUAAAGGUGCCGUUGAAAAUAGUUCUCUGAAAUAUCCAACUAUUAAAGCAG